AUACAUGCAUGAAAUCGCCUACGCAUCCCAACAACUAUCUCUUAAAUAGAGUCUUUUCUUGAUUCCAAAUCAAUUUCUAAUCAGACUAAAAAAGCUAGUCCUUAUCUCAUAAAGUCCCUUACCUUUUAAUUUGAUUUUUUUUCUAAAAAAAUCAGACCCAAUUGAAAAGGCUCCACACCCUAUAAGGCAAGUAGAGGGGGAACCCACACUUUAUUAGGCA
rnacentral:lncRNA from 1 species